UACGAAGGGGACUAGCGUUGUUCGGAAUUACUGGGCGUAAAGCGCACGUAGGCGGCUUUGUAAGUCAGGGGUGAAAUCCCGGGGCUCAACCUCGGAACUGCCUUUGAUACUGCAAAUCUCGAGUCCGAUAGAGGUGGGUGGAAUUCCUAGUGUAGAGGUGAAAUUCGUAGAUAUUAGGAAGAACACCGGUGGCGAAGGCGGCCCACUGGAUCGGUACUGACGCUGAGACGCGAAAGCGUGGGGAGCGAACAGG
rnacentral:rRNA from 1 species